AACGAACGCUGGCGGCAGGCUUAACACAUGCAAGUCGAACGCCCCGCAAGGGGAGUGGCAGACGGGUGAGUAACGCGUGGGAAUCUACCUAGUUCUACGGAACAACUGAGGGAAACUUCAGCUAAUACCGUAUACGCCCUACGGGGGAAAGAUUUAUCGGAAUUAGAUGAGCCCGCGUAAGAUUAGCUAGUUGGGGGGGUAAUGGCCUAAAAGGCGACGAUCUUUAGCUGGUCUGAGAGGAUGAUCAGCCACACUGGGACUGAGACACGGCCCAGACUCCUACGGGAGGCAGCAGUGGGGAAUAUUGGACAAUGGGGGCAACCCUGAUCCAGCCAUGCCGCGUGAGUGAUGAAGGCCCUAGGGUUGUAAAGCUCUUUUAGCGGGGAAGAUAAUGACGGUACCCGCAGAAAAAGCCCCGGCUAACUUCGUGCCAGCAGCCGCUGUAAUAC
rnacentral:rRNA from 1 species